rnacentral:rRNA from 1 species
CCUACGGGGGGCAGCAGUGGGGAAUCUUGCGCAAUGGGCGAAAGCCUGACGCAGCGACGCCGCGUGCGGGAUGACGGCCUUCGGGUUGUAAACCGCUGUCGGGAGGGACGAAGCUCUGACGGUACCUCCAAAGGAAGCACCGGCUAACUCUGUGCCAGCAGCCGCGGUAAUACAGAGGGUGCAAGCGUUGUCCGGAAUCACUGGGCGUAAAGGGCGCGUAGGCGGCCUGGUAAGUCGGGGGUGAAACGCUGCGGCUCAACCGCAGCACUGCCUUCGAGACUGUCAGGCUUGAGCACGGUAGAGGCAGGUGGAAUUCCCGGUGUAGCGGUGGAAUGCGUAGAGAUCGGGAAGAACAUCGGUGGCGAAGGCGGCCUGCUGGGCCGUUGCUGACGCUGAGGCGCGACAGCGUGGGGAGCAAACAGGAUUAGAUACCCCAGUAGUC